AUGGGGGCAACCCUGAUCUAGCCAUGCCGCGUGUGUGAUGAAGGCCCUAGGGUCGUAAAGCACUUUCGCCAGAGAUGAUAAUGACAGUAUCUGGUAAAGAAACCCCGGCUAACUCCGUGCCAGCAGCCGCGGUAAUACGGAGGGGGUUAGCGUUGUUCGGAAUUACUGGGCGUAAAGCGCACGUAGGCGGWUUAGUAAGUUAGAGGUGAAAUCCCAGGGCUCAACCCUGGAACUGCCUUUAAUACUGCUAGUCUUGAGUUCGAGAGAGGUAASUGGAAUUCCGAGUGUAKAGGUGAAAUUCGUAGAUAUUCGGAGGAACACCAGUGGCGAAGGCGGCUUACUGGCUCGAUACUGACGCUGAKGUGCGAAAGUGUGGGGAGCAAACAGGAUUAGAUACCCUGGUAGUCCACACCGUAAACGAUGAAUGCCAGACGUCAGCAAGUAUACUUGUUGGUGUCACACCUAACGGAUUAAGCAUUCCGCCUGGGGAGUACG
rnacentral:rRNA from 1 species